rnacentral:rRNA from 1 species
GAUCAUGGCUCAGGAUGAACGCUGGCGGCGUGCUUAACACAUGCAAGUCGAACGAAGCACUUAAACAGAUUCUUCGGAAUGACGUUUUAGUGACUUAGUGGCGGACGGGUGAGUAACGCGUGGGUAACCUACCCUGUACAGGGGGAUAACAGUUAGAAAUGACUGCUAAUACCGCAUAAGCGCACAGUAUCGCAUGAUACAGUGUGAAAAACUUUUGUGGUACAGGAUGGACCCGCGUCUGAUUAGCUAGUUGGUGAGGUAACGGCCCACCAAGGCAACGAUCAGUAGCCGACUUGAGAGAGUGAUCGGCCACAUUGGGACUGAGACACGGCCCAAACUCCUACGGGAGGCAGCAGUGGGGAAUAUUGCACAAUGGGGGAAACCCUGAUGCCAGCGACGCCGCGUGAAGGAUGAAGUAUUUCGGUAUGUAAACUUCUAUCAGCAAGGAAGAAUAAUGACGGUACUUGACUAAGAAGCCCCGGCUAAAUACGUGCCAGCCGCCGC